rnacentral:rRNA from 1 species
GCGGACGGGUGAGUAACGCGUGAGGAACCUGCCUCUUACAACGGGAUAGCCUCGGGAAACCGGGAUUAAUACCGUAUAAGACUCCGACAUCUCCUGAUGAUGAAGUCAAAGCGUUAGCGGUAAGAGAUGGCCUCGCGUCUGAUUAGCUUGUUGGCGGGGUAACGGCCCACCAAGGCGACGAUCAGUAACCGGCCUGAGAGGGUGAACGGUCACAUUGGAACUGAGACACGGUCCAAACUCC